UGCAACCUGAACUCAGGC
rnacentral:rRNA from 1 species